AGUGAACGCUGGCGGCGUGCUUAACACAUGCAAGUCGAACGAGAACGGGCUAUAGCUUGCUAUAGUUGUCAGCUAAGUGGCGCACGGGUGAGUAAUGUAUAGGUAAUAUGCCUCUUACUAAGGGAUAACAAAUGGAAACGUUUGCUAAUACCUUAUACUCCUUAUUAACAUAAGUUAAUAAGGGAAAGAUUUAUUGGUAAGAGAUUAGCCUGUAUUGUAUCAGUUAGUUGGUGGGGUAAUGGCUUACCAAGACUAUGACACAUAACUGGUUUGAGAGGAUGAUCAGUCACACUGGAACUGAGACACGGUCCAGACUCCUACGGGAGGCAGCAGUGGGGAAUAUUGCACAAUGGACGAAAGUCUGAUGCAGCAACGCCGCGUGGAGGAUGACACAUUUCGGUGCGUAAACUCCUUUUAUAUGAGAAGAUAAUGACGGUAUUAUAUGAAUAAGCACCGGCUAACUCCGUGCCAGCAGCCGCGGUAA
rnacentral:rRNA from 1 species